rnacentral:snRNA from 1 species
AACUUUCUAUUAUCUGUG